ACUUAUACUGCAAUCAGCUAUUUUACUAUACAGAUAAAGCUAUACGUAUAAACGUUAGCUUUAUACGUCAAUGACCUCAACUCACCUAUAAGCCCCGCCUACUUACAACGUCACGUCACAACCAUGACAACGUGUAGUAACAAUGGUCAAACUUUUAUGAAUUUAAACCUGUUAUGUCUUCAAAUUGGUAAUUUAUAUACCAUGUUUAUUAAAUGCUAUUAAUUAAAUUCAUUUUCCCUUUCUAAUUCCGUAAAUUGUCAAUGCUUACCGCCUAGACUACGCUCAUAGGGAAAUACCCCAAAAUGGUACCCCAAGGGGGAAAUUCCAAACACUUUUUUUUUAAUAAUAUUUGUUUCAUAUUUUUAUUAUUUUUUUAUUAUUUUAUCGAUUUCAGUAUAAAAACAAUAUACGUAUAGUGUCUUGAAAUAUGAAAUUUAUUUGUGUUCGGCACGAAACGGGAAAAUGCUCGGUAGAACCUCGCAUUUUCCCGUUUCUAAGCCUCAUACAAAUAAAUUUCAUAUUUCAAGACACUAUACGUAUAUUGUCUAAUUAUACAUCCCGACACAAAAAGACACAAUAAACAGAUCUGAGAGUACUCGCAGUUAUCUGACAGCUAGUUCAAAGCCACUAACAACUAAUAAAAAAAUCAUGCAACUAAGACUAAACUAUCAAUCCGUACACAUCCAACAUCCAAUGGAUUUAGUGUAAAGACGUCAUAAACAGCCAGA
rnacentral:lncRNA from 1 species